rnacentral:lncRNA from 1 species
AGAUUUUUCCAGUGGAGGCCAAAGCCUACUGAUUAGGUUCUGGGGUAAAAUUAAUUACUAGAAGUUAUUUAGAGAAACAACUGGUUAUGAACCUACCCAUAAAUGCACAUGGGUUGACCAACCAAAGUUGGGCUCGUGUGUAGUCUGUGUGGAUUCUAGUACUCACUAAGAAAUUAAAGUAAUUCCUCGAAUUGGAGGUUGAGGCUACCAAUUCGUAAAAAUACUGGGAGAAACUUUAGACUAAAGUCCAAGUCUUUAGUAUUAAUAAUUUAUGUACUGAUAUAGGUCUGGUUUUCCUUUAUGCAGCUAUGGCCACUACCCUGUCGCUCUGGUCAUUAUUAUAUAAUGACAAGCUCAUGGGACCUAAUUUCGAUAGCUGGUAUCGAAAAUUAAAAAUCGUCCUUGAGCAUGAGCGGAUCCUUUAUGUAGUAACGGAUCCAGCACCUGAGGAGCC